rnacentral:rRNA from 1 species
AGAGUUUGAUCCUGGCUCAGAUUGAACGCUGGCGGCAGGCCUAACACAUGCAAGUCGAGCGGAUGAGAAGAGCUUGCUCUUCGAUUCAGCGGCGGACGGGUGAGUAAUACCUAGGAAUCUGCCUGGUAGUGGGGGACAACGUUUCGAAAGGAACGCUAAUACCGCAUACGUCCUACGGGAGAAAGCAGGGGACCUUCGGGCCUUGCGCUAUCAGAUGAGCCUAGGUCGGAUUAGCUAGUUGGUGAGGUAAUGGCUCACCAAGGCUACGAUCCGUAACUGGUCUGAGAGGAUGAUCAGUCACACUGGAACUGAGACACGGUCCAGACUCCUACGGGAGGCAGCAGUGGGGAAUAUUGGACAAUGGGCGAAAGCCUGAUCCAGCCAUGCCGCGUGUGUGAAGAAGGUCUUCGGAUUGUAAAGCACUUUAAGUUGGGAGGAAGGGCAUUAACCUAAUACGUUAGUGUUUUGACGUUACCGACAGAAUAAGCACCGGCUAACUCUGUGCCAGCAGCCGCGGUAAU